UGCCACGAGGUGAGCGCAGAGCGAACUACUCCUUCACCUUUUACUAAAGAAUACUGUGUGCUAGCCGCAAUUAGUGGCAUGCACCAAUUUUUUUAGGAGUUUCUCUUCAUAGAGGAG